UUCCGGUUGAUCCUGCCGGACCUGACUGCUAUCGGAUUGGUACUAAGCCAUGCGAGUCAUUGUAGCAAUACAAGGCGGACGGCUCAGUAACACGUAGUCAACCUAACCUAUGGACGUGGAUAACCUCGGGAAACUGAGAAUAAACCACGAUAGAUCAUGAUGCCUGGAAUGGCUUAUGGUCCAAACAAUUUAUUGCCGUAGGAUGGGACUGCGGCCUAUCAGCUUGUUGGUGAGGUAAUGGCCCACCAAGGCUAUAACAGGUACGGGCUCUGAGAGGAGAAGCCCGGAGAUGGGUACUGAGACACGGACCCAGGCCCUAUGGGGCGCAGCAGGCGAGAAACCUUAGCAAUGUGCGAAAGCACGACUAGGUUAAUCCGAGUGGUUCCUGCUAAAGGAACCUUUUGUCAGUCGUAAAACCACAGACGAAUAAGGGGUGGGCAAGUCUGGUGUCAGCCGCCGCGGUAAUACCAGCACCUCGAGUGGUCAGGAGGUUUAUUGGGCCUAAAGCAUCCGUAGCCGGCUAUGCAAGUCUCCGGGUUAAAUCCAACUGCUCAACAGAUGGGCUGCCGGAGAUACUACAUAGCUAGGGAGCGGGAGAGGCAGACGGUAUUCGGUGGGUAGGGGUAAAAUCCACUGAUCCAUCGAAGAACCACAGUGGCGAAGGCGGUCUGCCAGAACGCGUUCGACGGUGAGGGAUGAAAGCUGGGGGAGCAACCGGAAUAAGAUACCCCGGUAAGUCCCAGCUUGUAAACGAAUGCCAAAC
rnacentral:rRNA from 1 species